UACGUAGGGAGCAAGCGUUGUCCGGAAUCAUUGGGCGUAAAGCGCGCGUAGGUGGCCCCAUAAGUCCGCUGUGAAAGUCAAAGGCUCAACCUUUGAAAGCCGGUGGAUACUGUGGGACUAGAGUACGGAAGAGGCGAGUGGAAUUCCUGGUGUAGCGGUGGAAUGCGCAGAUAUCAGGAGGAACACCAGUGGUGUAGACGGCUUUCUGGACCGUAACUGACGCUGAGACACGAAAGCGUGGGUAGCAAACAGG
rnacentral:rRNA from 1 species